rnacentral:rRNA from 1 species
GACGAACGCUGGCGGCGUGCCUAAUACAUGCAAGUAGAACGCUGAAGAGAGGAGCUUGCUCUUCUUGGAUGAGUUGCGAACGGGUGAGUAACGCGUAGGUAACCUGCCUUGUAGCGGGGAAUAACUAUUGGAAACGAUAGCUAAUACCGCAUAACAAUGGAUGACACAUGUCAUUUAUUUGAAAGGGGCAAUUGCUCCACUACAAGAUGGACCUGCGUUGUAUUAGCUAGUAGGUGAGGUAAUGGCUCACCUAGGCGACGAUACAUAGCCGACCUGAGAGGGUGAUCGGCCACACUGGGACUGAGACACGGCCCAGACUCCCACGGGAGGCAGCAGUAGGGAAUCUUCGGCAAUAGGGGCAACCCUGACCGAGCAACGCCGCGUGAGUGAAGAAGGGUUUCGGAUCGUAAAGCUCUGUUGUAAGUCAAGAACGGGUGUGAGAGUGGAAAGUUCACACUGUGACGGUAGCUUACCAGAAAGGGACGGCUAACUACGUG